UAGCUAUUCCUUGAAAGAUACCAUCAAAUAUUAUUUUAACACUUUACUUCCAAAAAAGAUUUAUUCAAGAGGCUUUGAUCACUCUGCAACGGCCAUUGACCAGCUUUGCUUUUCCCUCAGUUUUCCACCUUUUCGCUUAUGCAGUAUCCUCCUUAUUCCUUGAGAGGAAUCUUCUAGAGCUAGAUUCAGAUAUAGACAAAUUCUAUUCUAAAUUUUUUUUCUUUUUUCAUAACUCUACAAUUCAAUCUUACACCAUAUAACAUAAGCAGUAUUACAAAUCUUACACCAUAUGACAUAAGCAGUAUUACAACUCCAGAUUCUAUAACAUGUGGGAAACGAGGCUGAUGUGGAUAUGAUAUGGCGAAUGCUUAAUUGCCUUUCCUUUCCUUAAGCAUGUAAACAAUGAAGAUUUAUUCAAAGUGCUAUAAGGUAUUCUCUCUCAAUACGAACUUCACAAACCUCUCCUGCCCAGUCACCCCCACCUCAUCACCACUAAGAUUAA
rnacentral:misc_RNA from 1 species